rnacentral:rRNA from 2 species
CUUGGUCAUUUAGAGGAAGUAAAAGUCGUAACAAGGUUUCCGUAGGUGAACCUGCGGAAGGAUCAUUACCUAGAGUUUGUGGACUUCGGUCUGCUACCUCUUACCCAUGUCUUUUGAGUACCUUCGUUUCCUCGGCGGGUCCGCCCGCCGGUUGGACAACAUUCAAACCCUUUGCAGUUGCAAUCAGCGUCUGAAAAAACUUAAUAGUUACAACUUUCAACAACGGAUCUCUUGGUUCUGGCAUCGAUGAAGAACGCAGCGAAAUGCGAUAAGUAGUGUGAAUUGCAGAAUUCAGUGAAUCAUCGAAUCUUUGAACGCACAUUGCGCCCCUUGGUAUUCCAUGGGGCAUGCCUGUUCGAGCGUCAUUUGUACCUUCAAGCUCUGCUUGGUGUUGGGUGUUUUGUCUCGCCUCCGCGCGCAGACUCGCCUUAAAACAAUUGGCAGCCGGCGUAUUGAUUUCGGAGCGCAGUACAUCUCGCGCUUUGCACUCAUAACGACGACGUCCAAAAGUACAUUUUUACACUCUUGACCUCGGAUCAGGUAGGGAUACCCGCUGAACUUAAGCAUAUCAAUAAGCGGAGGA